UACGGAGGGUGCAAGCGUUAUUCGGAUUCACUGGGCUUAAAGGGUGCGUAGGUGGGCUGGUAAGUCAGUGGUGAAAUCCCCAAGCUUAACUUGGGAACUGCCAUUGAUACUAUCAGUCUUGAAUACCGUGGAGGUUAGCGGAAUAUGUCAUGUAGCGGUGAAAUGCUUAGAUAUGACAUAGAACACCAAUUGCGAAGGCAGCUGGCUACACGAAUAUUGACACUGAGGCACGAAAGCGUGGGGAUCAAACAGG
rnacentral:rRNA from 1 species